UUCUCCCUCCGUCUUCCUCCUUCUAUGCGUCUGCUCCUCGUGCGCGUUCUUCCUCUCUCUCUCCCUCUCAAUGACUCGACGGCGACGGCGGCUUCCAGCCCCACCGACGCCGUCCCCUUUCCUUCCCCCUCUUGUUCUCAGCUUUCCCUUCCU